UUUUGGGGUUUUUUUUUUUUUUUUUUUUUUUUUUUGCAUUUAGCCUCUCGAAAAUUUUUUUUGUAAAUAGUCUUAUAAAAUUUAUAUUUGUAAAAUUGACACUGUUUUCGUCACACGAGCAUCACGCGAGCAUGAACGGUGGUAUAGGUUAAGUUGAACACGGUGAACUAAUUUAUUCACCGUAUUUAGACAAAGUAAAUGAUUUACCGUAUUCCGUUAUUUUCUUAUCAUAAUAUUAUAUGAUAUUUGAAAUUUUAGUUUCAGAAAGAAUACGAUGAAUCAUUUACUCUAUUCAAAUACAGUGAAUGAUUUACAGUAUUCAACUUAAUCAGUCAUUACGUCUACGUGGCGCUUGCGUGGCGAGAACAGAGUCAAUUUUAUAAAUAUAAAUUUUAUGGACCUAUUUAUAAAAAAAUAAAUUUUGAGGGGCCUAGAAGCAAAACAAACUAUUGGGUUACUUUUUGCCCGACGGUAGUUACGUGGAGAGUGCACCUCUCAGCGUGCCUUCCCACUUGUGAUGGGUCAACGGAUCGAGAUAUUUAAAUUUUAUUUAAAAAUUUAAAAUUUUUAUUUAAAUUUAAAUUUGUAUGUACGAACUUAUUCUAUACUAAAUGAAUAUAAAAAUAAAAAUUCGACUGAUUUGAAUUCGGAUAUGAAUUUUAUCUGUACUCGAUUCGAACCCACAUCCGACCAGAAUCCAGAUUGAUUUUAUAUUACAUAAUGUGUAUAUAAAUAUUGGGUGUUAUCUUUGAAUUUGUAUGUUGAAAAUUUAAGUUUAAUAUGUAGGUUAAAUUAUACAAAAUCUCUUUAUAAAUAUUCAUUUUUUCACUUUUUCUCUUUGAUAUUUUAAAAUCUAUAUUUUGCCUCCUUAAACUUUUUAAAAUAUUUUCAGGGAGUACGUCAUCUAUGGAGAGCACAAAAUGACCGAAGAAAAAAAUAUUUUUUAAUAUAUUUAUAUUAUUUUGAAGAGCAUUUUUAGUAUAAAUUAUAAAAAAUAGACGGAAUAGCAAUAUAACCUUGAUGGAAGGGGCCUAAAUGCAACAAUUUGAAAUGUCGAGGAGGUAAAAUAUAAAUUUUUGCAGGUUAGGGAGGAAAAGUGAAAAACCGAAUAUUUAUAAGGGAGUUUUUUGUGAUUUAGCUUUUAAUGUAAUAUAUUUUGAAAUAUGAUGAAGAGAGUUUUAUAUAUUUUAGAGAAAACUCGCAUUUUCAUUCAGAUGUG
rnacentral:lncRNA from 1 species